rnacentral:rRNA from 1 species
AAUGAACGCUGGCGGCGUGGAUUAGGCAUGCAAGUCGAACGCGAAAGUUCCCUUCGGGGAGCGAGUAGAGUGGCGAAAGGGUGAGUAAUGCUUGGAUGACCUGCCCUCGAGACGGGGACAACAGUUCGAAAGGACUGCUAAUACCCGAUAGUCCGGUUUAGAUGCGUCUAGAUCGGUAAAUGGUGCUUCCGCUCGAGGAGGGGUUCAAGUCCUAUCAGCUUGUUGGUGAGGUAACGGCUCACCAAGGCGAUGACGGGUAGCCGGACUGAGAGGUUCGGCCGGCCACAGUGGGAACUGAGACAC